GCCGGCGGCUGCGCAGUGUCGGCACAUCCGGGCACUGGGGCAGGAUGAGCGCUCCUUUCCAAGAUGGCGGCGGAGGGAGGUGGGAAGGAGAUGAACGAGAUUAAGACCCAGUUCACCACCCGGGAGGGGCUGUACAAGCUGCUGAGCCACUCGGAGUACAGCCGGCCUAACCGCGUGCCCUUCAACUCGCAGGGCUCCAACCCCGUCCGCGUCUCCUUCGUCAACGUCAACGACCAGAGCGGCAACGGGGACCGGCUCUGCUUCAAUGUGGGCCGGGAGCUCUACUUCUACAUCUACAAGGGGGUCCGCAAGGCUGCGGACUUGAGUAAACCAAUAGACAAAAGGAUAUACAAAGGAACACAGCCUACAUGCCAUGACUUCAAUCACUUAACAGCCACAGCAGAAAGUGUGUCUCUACUAGUGGGCUUCUCUGCAGGCCAGGUCCAACUUAUAGACCCUAUUAAAAAAGAAACUAGCAAAUUAUUUAAUGAGGAAAGACUAAUAGACAAGUCCCGAGUAACCUGUGUAAAAUGGGUACCAGGUUCGGAAAGCCUUUUCCUAGUAGCUCAUUCCAGUGGCAAUAUGUACUUGUAUAACGUGGAGCACACUUGUGGUACCACAGCCCCGCACUACCAGCUACUUAAACAAGGAGAGAGUUUUGCAGUGCAUACUUGCAAGAGUAAAUCCACAAGAAACCCUCUGCUUAAAUGGACAGUAGGUGAGGGGGCCCUGAAUGAAUUUGCCUUUUCCCCUGAUGGGAAGUUCUUGGCGUGUGUGAGCCAGGAUGGUUUUCUUCGCGUGUUUAACUUUGAUUCAGUGGAAUUGCAUGGUACAAUGAAAAGCUACUUUGGAGGAUUGCUAUGUGUGUGUUGGAGCCCCGAUGGGAAAUACAUAGUGACAGGCGGAGAGGAUGACUUGGUGACAGUUUGGUCUUUCGUGGACUGUCGAGUUAUAGCGAGAGGCCACGGACAUAAAUCGUGGGUCAGUGUUGUUGCGUUUGAUCCAUAUACCACUAGUGUAGAAGAGAGUGACCCGAUGGAAUUUAGCGGAAGUGAUGAGGAUUUCCAAGACCUUCAUUUUGGCAGAGAUCGAGCAAAUAGCACGCAAUCUAGACUAUCCAAAAGGAACUCUACAGACAGUCGUCCAGUAAGUGUUACAUACAGAUUUGGUUCAGUAGGCCAGGACACACAGCUCUGUUUGUGGGAUCUUACAGAAGAUAUCCUCUUCCCCCACCAACCUCUCUCAAGAGCAAGGACACAUACAAAUGUCAUGAAUGCCACAAGUCCACCUGCAGGAAGUGGUGGAACUAACCCAGGAAGUAAUGGAAACAGUAUCACAACACCUGGAAACUCUGUACCCCCUCCUCUUCCACGGUCAAACAGCCUUCCACACUCUGCAGUCUCAAACGCUGGCAGUAAAAGCAGUGUCAUGGAUGGUGCCAUUGCUUCUGGCGUUAGUAAAUUUGCAACCUUAUCGCUACACGAUCGGAAGGAAAGACACCAUGAAAAAGAUCACAAGAGAAACCAUAGCAUGGGACAUAUAUCUAGCAAGAGCAGUGACAAACUGAACCUAGUUACUAAAACCAAAACGGACCCAGCUAAAACUUUGGGAACACCUCUCUGUCCCCGAAUGGAAGAUGUUCCCUUGUUAGAGCCUCUUAUCUGUAAAAAGAUAGCACAUGAAAGACUGACUGUGUUAAUUUUUCUUGAAGACUGUAUAGUCACUGCUUGUCAGGAGGGAUUUAUUUGCACAUGGGCAAGGCCUGGUAAAGUGGUAAGUUUUAAUCCUUAAUGCUGCAUCAAAGAACUAGAACUCUGAAUAGAUAGUUUUCUUGAAAUAUAAUGAAUGUUGAAUAUAAAAUUUCUUUAUGCUUAAUGUAAAAAAAAUAUCCUCAGAGCCAUACUUUUGGAUACUGCAUGCCAUAUUUCUGAAUGAUUUGAAGUGUCUUGGAUACAAUUAUUAAAUAUAGUUGCCUUCCAGCAGAAGAAAUAAAUACUGUGCAUCUAAACUAUUGAUCAGUGUUCUUAUACUUAAGCAUAACCACAAUAUGGUGAAAGCUAUUUAUGUAAAAAUUGAAGUAAAACCUGUCAAACACUAAAAUAAUCAUAAUCCUUCUAAUGCUUUCUACAAAAUAAGCACUCCCAAUGAGAGUAGCUUAUGAAAAGCUGCUGCUUCUAAGUCUAAUGAGAAACGUGAGCCUCUGAAAAAAUGAAAACCAAAGUGUUUUAUUCCUCCAUACUUCUCUGUGGUGGCCUGCCAUUAAUGUGAAACCAUUUCUUAUUAAAACAUCAGCCAUUUUAUGCACAGAUUUGUGAGCCCUGUACUGACUGUAGUUUAUGCUCUUGAAUUGUGAAUCAGUAUUAUCAAGGAACUCUAAUUUUAGCCAGGUUUUGAUUUAUGUAUUUAAGUUAGGGAUAAUCCUGCAAGCUUUCUCUCAGUAGUUUCAGUAUUCUGUUCCUGUCAGGUUUGUUAGGCAGUUAAACCACUACAAGCUCGUGUUUUUGAUGGCACCUGUUCCAUCAGCUGAACCUACAUUAGUCUAUUACUAGUUUUCACUCUUGAUGUUGAUGCACUUGAACACCUAUAUUUUAUUUUUCUUCUCUCCAAUGUAUAGAUAGCUAAAUUUUGACUGAAGCUGAAUGUGGUGAUUCUUACAUUAAAAAGUACUUUGUGCUACAAUAACUCUGCCAGCCAGUAACAGUUCAAAGGAAUACAGCUAUGAAAACAUUUCCAGAGCUGAAUUGAGGAAAAGAACCAUUAUUUUUGUGAAAAUUUCUGAAAGGGAAUGUAGAUUAUCACCUGAAGUAAAAGAAAUUAUCUGGUAAUACCCAAAUAAUGCCAUGUUGGGCAGCUUAAAUGAAAAUCUGUUGUUUGUUAGAUUUUAACCAUUUGGUUCAUAAAUCUGACUUUUGAAGUAGAGGUACUGUAUAUAUUUAGAUACCACAUCUUCAUUACUAUAAACUCGCAAGUAAAACUCAAUAAUUUUUCUUAAAAUUGUUUGUAUAAUGUAGGCUUUUUUGAGAUCUUACCAAAUUUGUCACAAUGUAGGUAUGCAUAAGAAUCUGUGUCUGUUCUGCAUCUUUAUGCAUAUUUAAGGUUGAAUCUAAAAACUUAAAAUUGAAAGCUCCUUUAUCAGAGAAGGGAGGAAAGUGUUACCUAAAAGUAUUUUUUGCCUGAGAACUACAAAUCCAGCAUUAAUUAAAAAAAAAAAAAAAAAGCACUCCCUUAAAACACUAAAUUAUUUAAAAUGUUUGCUCAAAAUGAAAGUAUUAAAGCAAUUAUACUUUUGUGACUCAGUGCACUUCACAUCUUACUAAUUACAGCAGUGCCUCAGAUUGCUAUUGUGAGCUACAUUUUCUUUUUGUACUAAAACUCCUUUGCAUACUAUUAAACACUACUCUGUCACGUUUAUUUUCAGUGGCUGAGGUGGGUUUUGUUAGACUAAGUAUAACUUAAAUAUUUUCGUGUAUUGACUUUGAUUUGGAAUAUGACAUUUCAAAUAUUUCAGAGAUAAAGUAUGCAGUACCAAAAAUCAGGAUUUAUGUAUUGGCCAAUAUGGAAAACUUUAACUACAGGGUUUAUUGUCAUCCCAAAACCAGGCCAAUUCUCCAAGUGGAACUGUAGUAUAGCCAUCACACUACUGCUAGCAAAUCUCUGAACGCAGGACAAGAAGUAAUGACAGUGGAACCAGGAGCUGUUCUUCAGGCAAAGAGCAUCACAAAUUAUAAUGUGGCAGAGUGUAAAGAUGGAAUUAUGUGAAUCACAUAGUGACUUGGAAAGGACAAAUGUAAGGAGUUCUCACUACAGCUGAUCCUGCUAGGCUGCUCACCCAAGGAAGAGUUUGCAUUGGAGAAAAAGCAAAAAGCUUCCUUUAGUGCUGCAGGAAAAAGUAGUAACAUUUUUGUUUUCUUUAUACUUUUCAAGUCCAGUGUAAUUUAAUCUCUCUAUAAAUAUAUAAGAUAUAUAUAUAUAUAUAUAUAGUGUAAAAUAAGAUAUGUUUCUUAAAUUCAAGUAAGUUCAAUGGUUAAACUAGUACUUCACCAUUGUUUAUUUUGCACUGAUUUUUUUAACCAGAGAUGGCUAGAAGACAGCCUGGAAUGCACUCAUGGAAAAUGAAAGUCAUUACUUUCUGGCUUCAAAAUGUUUUUCAGGAAGAUGGAUGCUGCAAUCAUAGAUUUUUUUAAAACAAAAUUGUUUUGCACUUAAAUAGUUUAAUGCUUAUAGAGAAUUACUUUAAAAUUGGUGUCCAGACACCAGAAAAACUAUGUUGUGGAAAAAAGAUCCUUUGUAUCUAUUAAACAUUUAUUUUAAUAUUGUUGUUUCCAACUGCAAUCGGCUCUGUAUUAUAUGUAUAAAUAAUGUAAUUCAGUGAUGGGAAAGGGGAGUAAUGGAUCAUUACACUAGAAAUUCUCAUUCAUUUAAGAAAGUGAUAUUUCUAAUUCAGAAAAUACAUAUUAAACUAUCUUGAAUAUGCAUUUUUGUUUACUUUCUGUUCAAAUCCAAUCACUUUUGAUGUAACCAAUUCUUUGUUGAAUUAAAUGUUUGGUACAGAAAUACUAUC